rnacentral:lncRNA from 1 species
ACCACUAUUACUAAAAAAUUUAAAACAUCAAUCAAUAACAAAUUAGAACAAUCCGCAUUCUUGUGAGUUUUUUUAUUGUUUUUGGGCAUUUUUCCUCUUCAAUUCUUUGACCACACUUGAUUCACUUUCAUUUUCAAAGAAUUUCAGCCUUUGUAUUUCUUCAUUCGUAAAGCAUAGUUUAUCCCUCAUUUUUUUAUCACUUCCCUUUAUCUUUCAGUGAAUGGAGGAUUACACCACUUCAAAAAUCGAUCCUGCUCAAAAUAAACAAUAGAGAAAGAUUUGUGAGUAAAAAAACCCUAUUUAUUUCAUCCCAAAAAAAUUAUUUAAAAAAAUUACAAAUUCACAUACCUUGUACUUGUUACAACCAACAAAUCUUCUACCUGGAUAUAGGGUUCCAUCUUUCCAUGCUUCUCACAUGGGUGCAACAAUUCCACAACCGCGGACGAUGGGAUUGAAUGAAGAGUUGCACUUAGAAUAUGCAAAUUUGGUUACCAUUUACCUUCUAUAAGAAUUCUAUACCCCACUUGAGGUAUUCAUUUUCUCUAAAUGCACCUAUGUAUUGGAUUAUUAGCUUCAAUUACUUCAAACCAGUCGACUACAACCCAUUUUGAUGUCUACUAUUACGAAAAACCCUAAAUUUUGCCCCUUUUGAUGUGUAAUUUCUUAUUUAUCAUGGAUGAAAUUUGUUGAGUCGGAUCGGAUAACCAUGGGUAUAUUUGUUUUUGAUGAGUGAGCUAUAGAUGAUGUGUACAAAACUGUUAAAAGUAGCCUCUAACUAGGAUUCAAUGUCAAUAUGGUUAAAAUAAUUAACCUCGCUGACAAAAAUUUAAAUUUUUGUAAGAAAAAUAAAAUAUAGUUAGUUGACUAUUAAAAAAAAUUAUUUAGUUGACUGUAAGUUGACUUAAAGUAGAUGAAUUAAAAAAAU